UGGGGAAUAUUGGACAAUGGGCGAAAGCCUGAUCCAGCCAUGCCGCGUGUGUGAAGAAGGUCUUCGGAUUGUAAAGCACUUUAAGUUGGGAGGAAGGGCAGUAAGCGAAUACCUUGCUGUUUUGACGUUACCUACAGAAUAAGCACCGGCUAACUCUGUGCCAGCAGCCGCGGUAAUACAGAGGGUGCGAGCGUUAAUCGGAUUUACUGGGCGUAAAGCGCGCGUAGGUGGUUCGUUAAGUUGAAUGUGAAAGCCCCGGGCUCAACCUGGGAACUGCAUCCAAAACUGGCGAGCUAGAGUAGGGCAGAGGGUGGUGGAAUUUCCUGUGUAGCGGUGAAAUGCGUAGAUAUAGGAAGGAACACCAGUGGCGAAGGCGACCACCUGGGCUCAUACUGACACUGAGGUGCGAAAGCGUGGGGAGCAAACAGG
rnacentral:rRNA from 1 species